AUGCUGGAGGUAUCAGAAGUGCGAAUGCUGACAUAAGUAACGAUAAAGCGGGUGAAAAGCCCGCUCGCCGGAAGACCAAGGGUUCCUGUCCAACGUUAAUCGGGGCAGGGUGAGUCGACCCCUAAGGCGAGGCCGAAAGGCGUAGUCGAUGGGAAACAGGUUAAUAUUCCUGUACUUGGUGUUACUGCGAAGGGGGGACGGAGAAGGCUAUGUUGGCCGGGCGACGGUUGUCCCGGUUUAAGCGUGUAGGCUGGUUUUCCAGGCAAAUCCGGAAAAUCAAGGCUGAGGCGUGAUGACGAGGCACUACGGUGCUGAAGCAACAAAUGCCCUGCUUCCAGGAAAAGCCUCUAAGCAUCAGGUAACAUCAAAUCGUACCCCAAACCGACACAGGUGGUCAGGUAGAGAAUACCAAGGCGCUUGAGAGAACUCGGGUGAAGGAACUAGGCAAAAUGGUGCCGUAACUUCGGGAGAAGGCACGCUGAUAUGUAGGUGAGGUCCCUCGCGGAUGGAGCUGAAAUCAGUCGAAGAUACCAGCUGGCUGCAACUGUUUAUUAAAAACACAGCACUGUGCAAACACGAAAGUGGACGUAUACGGUGUGACGCCUGCCCGGUGCCGGAAGGUUAAUUGAUGGGGUUAGCGCAAGCGAAGCUCUUGAUCGAAGCCCCGGUAAACGGCGGCCGUAACUAUAACGGUCCUAAGGUAGCGAAAUUCCUUGUCGGGUAAGUUCCGACCUGCACGAAUGGCGUAAUGAUGGCCAGGCUGUCUCCACCCGAGACUCAGUGAAAUUGAACUCGCUGUGAAGAUGCAGUGUACCCGCGGCAAGACGGAAAGACCCCGUGAACCUUUACUAUAGCUUGACACUGAACAUUGAGCCUUGAUGUGUAGGAUAGGUGGGAGGCUUAGAAGUGUGGACGCCAGUCUGCAUGGAGCCGACCUUGAAAUACCACCCUUUAAUGUUUGAUGUUCUAACGUUGACCCGUAAUCCGGGUUGCGGACAGUGUCUGGUGGGUAGUUUGACUGGGGCGGUCUCCUCCUAAAGAGUAACGGAGGAGCACGAAGGUUGGCUAAUCCUGGUCGGACAUCAGGAGGUUAGUGCAAUGGCAUAAGCCAGCUUGACUGCGAGCGUGACGGCGCGAGCAGGUGCGAAAGCAGGUCAUAGUGAUCCGGUGGUUCUGAAUGGAAGGGCCAUCGCUCAACGGAUAAAAGGUACUCCGGGGAUAACAGGCUGAUACCGCCCAAGAGUUCAUAUCGACGGCGGUGUUUGGCACCUCGAUGUCGGCUCAUCACAUCCUGGGGCUGAAGUAGGUCCCAAGGGUAUGGCUGUUCGCCAUUUAAAGUGGUACGCGAGCUGGGUUUAGAACGUCGUGAGACAGUUCGGUCCCUAUCUGCCGUGGGCGCUGGAGAACUGAGGGGGGCUGCUCCUAGUACGAGAGGACCGGAGUGGACGCAUCACUGGUGUUCGGGUUGUCAUGCCAAUGGCACUGCCCGGUAGCUAAAUGCGGAAGAGAUAAGUGCUGAAAGCAUCUAAGCACGAAACUUGCCCCGAGAUGAGUUCUCCCUGACCCCUUAAGAGUCCUGAAGGAACGUUGAAGACGACGACGUUGAUAGGCCGGGUGUGUAAGCGCAGCGAUGCGUUGAGCUAACCGGUACUAAUGAACCGUGAGGCUUAACCUU
rnacentral:rRNA from 1 species